UGAGGAAUUUUGGUCAAUGGGCGAAAGCCUGAACCAGCAACGCCGCGUGAAGGAUGAAGGCCCUCGGGUCGUAAACUUCUUUUAGGGGAGAAGAGAAAGGACGGUAUCCCCUGAAUAAGCCACGGCAAACUACGUGCCAGCAGCCGCGGUAAAACGUAGGUGGCGAGCGUUAUCCGGAUUUACUGGGCGUAAAGCGCUUGUAGGUGGUUUUGUAAGUUGGGCGUGAAAUCUCCGGGCUUAACUUGGAGAGGCCGUCCAAUACUGCGAGGCUAGAGGUUAUUCGAGGAAAGUGGAAUUCCUGGUGUAGUAGUGAAAUGCGUAGAUAUCAGGAGGAACACCCGUGGCGAAGGCGGCUUUCUAGGAUAUACCUGACACUGAGAAGCGACAGCUAGGGGAGCAAACAG
rnacentral:rRNA from 1 species